UACGUAGGUGGCAAGCGUUGUCCGGAAUUAUUGGGCGUAAAGCGCGCGCAGGCGGUUCCUUAAGUCUGAUGUGAAAGCCCACGGCUCAACCGUGGAGGUGCAUUGGAAACUGGGAGACUUGAGUGCAGAAGAGGAGGGCGGAAUUCCACGUGUAGCGGUGAAAUGCGUAGAGAUGUGGAGGAACACCGGUGGCGAAGGCGGCUCUCUGGGCUGUAACUGACGCUGAGGCGCGAAAGCGUGGGGAGCAAACAGG
rnacentral:rRNA from 1 species